GGACCCAGUACCGUGAGACGUGAAAAAGAAGGCAGCAACAGACACUAAAGACGGCUUGCAGUAAGACCAAUGGAUUCUGUACCUUCUGAGCCGCCUGGGAAGCCCGCAUGGAUAAUUACAUUCUGGCUGAGAACGAAGUCACUGCAGAUCAGCCAGAGGCAGCCAGGAGAGAAAGUUGGGUGUGACUUGGAGCAAGAACAGACUUAGAACUGGAAGGGACAAAGUGGAAUUCAUGGACAGCUGUAGUCUUCAAAGGCAGACUGGAUCUGAGUAUGUGUCUCACUACUCGAAACUUUGAUAAUGCAGAGGUGCUGCAGGAGAAGCUGGUACAUUUCAUAGAAUUGUGCAUGCACUUGGCUUAUGACCUGGUGAAGCUGAAGAUCUGGCAGGAGCUGAGGUCUGGGCGCUGCCUCAUGCCAGCAAGGAGAGCCAGCAGAUCAGCUACAAUGUGCUAGAGUUACCACCGUGCCUGGAGGUCUGCACUGUCCUUCAGAGCAUGCAAACCAUGGCCUCUGCUUCACUGUGGUCUUCCAGAGUUCAUGCAACACUAAAACCAUGCAGGAUUCUAGAAAACAGAUCCUGUUUAGCUGAGCGGACACAUUACAAAGUCACCAUACUGCUCCAUUGGUUCAAGGCAUUAAGUCCGUUGCGUAUGCUUCAGCCCAGAAAUAAUGUUAUAGAAAUAAUGUACUGCCGGCAGAAGACGGAAUCUGAAAGUACACAAUGAUGUUACUCAUAUAAAGAGAAAGCAGAAAUACUGUUUAUCUUUGCAAGAAUCCAAAUGUCCUACCAUUGAGAACUGGUCUAAUAGAUUUUGAUACACUUACGCAACACAAUAAAAAAUAAUUAAAAAG